rnacentral:rRNA from 1 species
UCGGGAAUCUUGCACAAUGGGCGAAAGCCUGAUGCAGCAACGCCGUGUGAGCGACGAAGGCCCUCGGGUCGUAAAGCUCUGUUGUUGGGGACGAAGGGCGAAGGGUUAAUAGCCCCUAGCCUGACGGUACCCUUCGAGGAAGCCCCGGCUAACUACGUGCCAGCAGCCGCGGUAAUACGUAGGGGGCGAGCGUUGUCCGGAAUUAUUGGGCGUAAAGGGCGCGUAGGCGGCCCGGUAAGUCUGCUGUGAAACCCUGGGGCUCAACCCCAGGCGUGCAGUGGAUACUGUCGGGCUAGAGGAUGGUAGAGGCCAGUGGAAUUCCCAGUGUAGCGGUGAAAUGCGCAGAUAUUGGGAGGAACACCAGUAGCGAAGGCGGCUGGCUGGGCCAUUCCUGACGCUGAGGCGCGAAAGCUAGGGGAGCGAACAGGAUUAGAUACCCCCGUAGUCC